UAGCGUAGGUGGCGAGCGUUGUCCGGAUUUAUUGGGCGUAAAGCGCGCGCAGGCGGCGCCGCAAGUCCGGUGUGAAAGCGCCCGGCUCAACUGGGCGAGGUCAUUGGAGACUGCGGUGCUGGAGGGUGGCAGAGGCCGGUGGAAUUCCCGGUGUAGUGGUGAAAUGCGUAGAGAGUCGGGAGGAACACCAGUGGCGAAGGCGGCCGGGCUGG
rnacentral:rRNA from 1 species